GUAUUUUUGCGGUGAAACACAGAGCAGAAAUCCCAGGUGAAGCAGUGGAGAGCAGUGACUCACAUCUGAGUGACAAUCCAGUACAAACUGGGUCACAUGACGCGUCUGUUCCUCAGCAUGACUCUCUACAGUCUGUGUCAUGUCUGUAAUGUCUGUGGGAGAGAAUUGUUCCUGCUGAUCGGACAAGAAAGAGCAGAGAAAAGUCAGCAGUGGAGGCAGGCAGUACUCCGCCUCACCACAAGGGCUCGUACGUGAACUAACAGGUGCUCUCCAGCUGGCGUCAACAAACAAUUAAAAGUCGGCGCCAAACGAGAGGCAGUAGUCGGCGAAGAACAGCGGUGUUUAUGCUGCGUCUGAUCAGACUGACUAUGGAUUGUGUUUCAAGACUGAAACAUCUCUCCACUGGACUUCCGGUCCAAACAGAAGGUGAUAAGUGACGGAAGCUAACGCCUGAGCUAACAGGUUAGCUUCAAACUACGGGACAGAAGAGUCGUUCUUUUUAAAUGGAGAGGUACAAACGAAGAGACUGUCGGUGUGUCUGUCCUGUCAGAAACCGCCAUUACUGCUGUCCUUGUCUUUUAUUGUCGUCGUGUGAUAACUUCCGGACAAAACAGCAGGUGUUAAGUGAAGCUAAGGCCGGAGCUAACAGGUUAGCUUCAAACUACGGGACAGAAGAGUCGUUCUUUUUAAAUGUAGAGGUACAAACGAAGAGACUGUCGGUGUGUCUGUCCUGUCAGAAACCGCCAUUACUGCUGUCCUUGUCUUUUAUUGUCGUCGUGUGAUAACGUCUGGGCGAACUCGGAAUACUGUGACCUGAAACAUUUACAAAGAAGCCUCCGCAGACAUGGAAGAUCAGCCACGAACAUUCAAAGACAGAUUUAUUUAGAAACUUCUGGAAAUUAAAGGAUCGAUUUGUCAUCGGAUGAACAACGGAGACUAAACAUUAGCCUCGACGAUGUUAAGGUAAGGGGAAACCGAGAGACACAACCACGGACUUCAGCUAGAAGUAAAGGAAAGAACACGUCAACCUUCACUGUUCUGGCAUCACGUUACGGCAGAACAAUUCCCCGGGAGGAACAGUAUCUCUGGUUCACAUGUAGAACAUCAGCCACGGCAACAGACAAAACUACAGCUCAUGUGUAGGAUCCUCUAAUAUCUGUUAGGUUUAUACUUUACUUCUUUUUAUUUAAAACAGUUAGUUUUGAAGUGAAUUAUUCAUUGUUAUUCUGUAUUUAUAAAUAAAAACAGAUGGAGAUCAAACAACAAAAGUGCUUUUAUUAGUAUUUACUACAUAGAAACAGUGUAUAAACAAACCAGGACCUUCUGGUUUAUAAACAGCAUGAUGUACAGGAAAUUGAAUAAUAAAGUUAUAGACUAACAGCAAGAAGGUCGAUGGAUUGAGUCCCAGUUUGACUGAACCAUAGAUAUGAGUUCAAGUACAAAUUGUUGUUUAUCUCUGUGUUCCUGAACUGUAUAUUAUACCCUGGUGACUGUCAAACCUUGGGGUCACCUAGAAGUCAUAUGGGUCACUUGAAAUGUCAAGUAAUUGAUUAAAAAAAAAA